rnacentral:SRP_RNA from 1 species
UGAGGCCCCUCACGUGGCGAUAUCUUGGUGAACUCCCCCAGGUCGGAAACGAAGCAAGGGUAGCUGGGCUCUAUCGGGUGCGUGAGGGGUCUUUCAA